rnacentral:rRNA from 1 species
UACGUAGGGCGCAAGCGUUGUCCGGAAUUAUUGGGCGUAAAGAGCUCGUAGGCGGCUCGUUGCGUCGGCUGUGAAAACCCGCAGCUCAACUGUGGGCUUGCAGCUGAUACGGGCGGGCUGGAGUUCGGUAGGGGAGACUGGAAUUCCUGGUGUAGCGGUGAAAUGCGCAGAUAUCAGGAGGAACACCGGUGGCGAAGGCGGGUCUCUGGGCCGAUACUGACGCUGAGGAGCGAAAGCGUGGGGAGCGAACAGG